rnacentral:tRNA from 1 species
GGGGGUAUAGCUCAGUGGUAAAGCAUUUGACUGCAGCUCAAGAGGUCCUUGGUUCAAGUCCAGGUUCCCCCU